CGGACGGGUGAGUAAUGUCUGGGAAACUGCCUGAUGGAGGGGGAUAACUACUGGAAACGGUAGCUAAUACCGCAUAACGUCGCAAGACCAAAGAGGGGGACCUUCGGGCCUCUUGCCAUCGGAUGUGCCCAGAUGGGAUUAGCUAGUAGGUGGGGUAACGGCUCACCUAGGCGACGAUCCCUAGCUGGUCUGAGAGGAUGACCAGCCAUACUGGAACUGAGACACGGUCCAG
rnacentral:rRNA from 1 species